rnacentral:rRNA from 1 species
UACAGAGGGUGCGAGCGUUGUCCGGAAUCACUGGGCGUAAAGGGCGCGUAGGCGGCUCCUCACGCGUGCGGUGAAAGCUCGGGGCUUAACUCCGAGUCUGCCGUGCGAACGGGGAGGCUUGAGUCUGGUAGAGGUCGAUGGAAUUCCGGGUGUAGCGGUGGAAUGCGUAGAGAUCCGGAAGAACACCGGUGGCGAAGGCGGUCGACUGGGCCAGUACUGACGCUGAGGCGCGACAGCGUGGGGAGCAAACAGG